CAACUUCUAAUAGAGCUAUAACAAGCACUGCAUGGCCCAAGAUUCCAUUCCUUGGAAUCCGUGAGGCCAAGAACCCCAGGUCAGAGAACACGAGGCUUGCCACCAUCUUGGAAGUGGCCCACCGCCAUUUUGGAAGUGGCCAACCACCAUCUUGGGAGCUCUGGGAGCAAGGACCCCUGGUAACAUUUUGGCGACCACGAAGGGACAUCCCAAGUGAUAAGCUGAGACCAUCCUUGAAAUAGACUCACUUUGGUGUAAUCAAAGUCCACCUAUAUAUAUGAUUUUCAGCAGCCCCCUCAAGCAAUGAGAUACUGAAGACCUUACCUUCUCUGCCAUGUGAGGAUACAGGAUGAAGGUGUCACCUGCAAGCCAGGAAGAAAGUCCUCAUGAAGACCUGACCAUAUGGCAUCCUGAUGUUGGGCUUCUGGCCUCCAAAAUCAUGAUAAAUAAAUUUCUG
rnacentral:lncRNA from 1 species